AGAGUUUGAUCCUGGCUCAGAUUGAACGCUGGCGGCAUGCCUUACACAUGCAAGUCGAACGGCAGCACGGGAGCAAUCCUGGUGGCGAGUGGCGAACGGGUGAGUAAUAUAUCGGAACGUACCUUUCAGUGGGGGAUAACGUAGCGAAAGUUACGCUAAUACCGCAUAUUCUGUGAGCAGGAAAGCAGGGGACCUUCGGGCCUUGCGCUGAUUGAGCGGCCGAUAUCAGAUUAGCUAGUUGGUGAGGUAAAGGCUCACCAAGGCGACGAUCUGUAGCGGGUCUGAGAGGAUGAUCCGCCACACUGGAACUGAGACGCGGUCCAGACUCCUACGGGAGGCAGCAGUGGGGAAUUUUGGACAAUGGGGGCAACCCUGAUCCAGCCAUACCGCGUGAGUGAAGAAGGCCUUCGGGUUGUAAAGCUCUUUCGGCCGGGAAGAAAUCGCAUCAGCUAAUACCUGGUGUGGAUGACGGUACCGGAAUAAGAAGCACCGGCUAACUACGUGCCAGCAGCCGCGGUAA
rnacentral:rRNA from 1 species